rnacentral:rRNA from 1 species
AACACGACUCUCGGCAAUGGAUAUCUCGGCUCUUGCAUCGAUGAAGAGCGCAGCGAAAUGCGAUACGUGGUGCGAAUUGCAGAAUCCCGCGAACCAUCGAGUCUUUGAACGCAAGUUGCGCCCGAGGCCAACCGGCUGAGGGCACGUCUGCCUGGGCGUCAAGC